rnacentral:lncRNA from 1 species
CCAGCCGACCUACCCCUGCAUCCCGGCUGCUGGGGGAUCAGAAGUCAUGGGAAUAGAGAGCCUGUGGACACUUCCCCAGAGACCUGAGGAAGGCACUGGAAUCUCGAUCCUCCACUUCGGGGCUGAGCGCCCAGGUUCGGGCGGAGGGUCUGCGGAUUGAAGCCGAUGACUGAGCUUUGCUGGCCAGAACCAGCUUCCAUCCCCCAGGCCAGGGCUGCCUCCGAUGGCCUGAGGUGCCCCUGUCCUGUGUGUGCAUGUGUGUGUAUGCCCCCACAUGAGUAUGUGCACACGUGCGUACACGUGUGUGUGCUCGUGAGACGGGAGGUGUGGUGUCCUUCUGUCUCCCUGGUUAGUGCUGGUUGAUUCUGACAGCGGGCACCAGUUAUCCAUGGGGUGCCGCCCAGGGUGGGUCUCUACCGUGCUAUGAGCCUGGACCGGAUGCCUGCCCUCUGGGUGCCUCAGUGCUCCCUUGGUGUAAAGCGAGGUUCAAGUUCCCAAGCUGUGCUUUGCAGAAUUCCUCAGGAAUGGCCAUGGAAGUUGGGGAAGGCAACAUGGGGUCCAAUCCCGCAGGCACCCCUCUCCUACAGGCACCCCACUCCCCUACAGGCUACCCCUCUGCCCUACAGGCACCCCUUUGCCCCACACGCACCCCUCUGCCCCACAGACACUCCUCUGCCC